rnacentral:tRNA from 1 species
GCGCCUAUAGCUCAGAGGAUAGAGCACUGGCCUCCGGAGCCAGGUGCGCAGGUUCGAGUCCUGCUAGGCGCGCCA